rnacentral:lncRNA from 1 species
AUGAAGUGUCCCUGGGGAUUGACUGUCCUGUAACCAACAUAACUGAGAAGGGGUAUGGGUUUAAUCACCUUGUCACCGAGUGUGGGAUUCAGAAAGAGUACUUAAAGAUUUUUCAGGAAUUGGGAGUUUAUUGAAAAAGAAAAAAAAAAGGAUCACGAAAGCCUGAAGAUAGAUGCUUAUGAGUCAAAAGAAGACAAAUAAUCCAGAGAUAGAGAUGAUCCUGUUUUCAAUGCCUUCAUCCUUACCCUGAAAGCACUGCUCUCCUAGAGAUAUAAUCAGGCAUUUACCAUACGCUGAGAACUUCAUCACAGGUGUUCCUUACCACCAUGAUCACUGCUUUUUCAGAGAUAAGGAAACAGACUUAAUUGUUUAAAUAAAUUCCCAGGGAUUCAUGCCUCUCCAGGAGACUCUUCUGCGUAAAACUAAAAUCAAGUGUAUCUCAGUGACAGAGCUGAAGUGCUAUUAUUGUGUGC